UACGUAGGCAGCGAGCGUUGUUCGGAGUUACUGGGCGUAAAGGGUGUGUAGGCGGUUGGUUAAGUUUGGUGUGAAAUCUCCCGGCUCAACUGGGAGGGUGCGCCGAAUACUGAAUGACUUGGAGUGCGGGAGAGGUGAGUGGAAUUCCUGGUGUAGCGGUGAAAUGCGUAGAUAUCAGGAGGAACACCGGUGGCGAAGGCGGGUCUCUGGGCAACUACUGACGCUGAGGAGCGAAAGCGUGGGGAGCGAACAGG
rnacentral:rRNA from 1 species